rnacentral:rRNA from 1 species
GAUGAACGCUGGCGGCGUGCCUAAUACAUGCAAGUCGAGCGAACAGACGAGGACUUGGCUCCUCUGACGUUACCGCCGGACGGGUGAGUAACAGUUGGAUAACUAACUUAUAAGACGGGGAUAACUUCGGAAACCCGGAGCUAUUACCGGAUAAUAAUUUAAACCGCAUGGUUCAAUAGUAAAAAACGGUUUUCCUUUACCUUAUAGAUGAAUCCGCGCCGCAUUAGCUAGUUGGUAAGGUAACGGCUUACCAAGGCAACGAUGCGUAGCCGACCUGAGAGGGUGAUCGGCCACACUGGAACUGAGACACGGUCCAGACUCCUACGGGAGGCAGCAGUAGGGAAUCUUCCGCAAUGGGCGAAAGCUUGACGGAGCAACGCCGCGUGAGUGAUGAAGGUCUUCGGAUCGUAAAACUCUGUUAUUAGGGAAGAACAAAUGUGUAAGUAACUAUGCACGUCUUGACGGUACCUAAUCAGAAAGCCACGGCUAACUACGUG